rnacentral:rRNA from 1 species
UAGGGAAUCUUCUGCAAUGGACGAAAGUCUGACCGAGCAACGCCGCGUGAGUGAAGAAGGUUUUCGGAUCGUAAAACUCUGUUGUUAGAGAAGAACAAGGACGUUAGUAACUGAACGUCCCCUGACGGUAUCUAACCAGAAAGCCACGGCUAACUACGUGCCAGCAGCCGCGGUAAUACGUAGGUGGCAAGCGUUGUCCGGAUUUAUUGGGCGUAAAGCGAGCGCAGGCGGUUUCUUAAGUCUGAUGUAAAAGCCCCCGGCUCAACCGGGGAGGGUCAUUGGAAACUGGGAGACUUGAGUGCGGAAGAGGAGAGUGGAAUUCCAUGUGUAGCGGUGAAAUGCGUAGAUAUAUGGAGGAACACCAGUGGCGAAGGCGGCUCUCUGGUCUGUAACUGACGGUGAGGCUCGAAAGCGUGGGGAGCAAACAGG